UUUGAGGAUUUGGGAGAUUUCAAAGCUGAUGUUGCUCCAUUAACUGUCAAAGAACUAAAAGAUGCAGUGAAAUCACAUUCCUUUAGGGCGCUUGUCGUGAAGAGAGGGAAACUUCAGCUCUAUGCAGGACAACCACUCGCCGAUGCUGAGAUGGCAUUACGAGCCAUGAUUGAGCAAGGCUGAACAACAACCUCCCACUAUGUUACGAUGGCGGAAGGAGUUUUGUAGUUUUUGUAUGUUUUCUUGAGAGUUGGGAAAGUAGUUUUUGGAUUUUGAAGAGCAUUAUUAUACUAGCUUAUUUCCAUUUUUGAUUUGAUUCAAAUUCACAACUGUGUUAGAAGUUUUUUGUGAAUGAUAAAAUCUUUGAAUUCUUUACUACUUUGAAUGUUC